rnacentral:rRNA from 1 species
AUUGAACGAUAGCGGGAUGAUUUACACAUGCAAGUCGAACGAGUGGCGGACGGGUGAGUAAUAUAUCGGAACGUGCCCAGUAGCGGGGGAUAACUACUCGAAAGAGUGGCUAAUACCGCCUACUAUUGGAGCGGCCGAUAUCGGAUUAGCUAGUUGGUGGGGUAAAGGCUCACCAAGGCAACGAUCCGUAGCUGGUUUGAGAGGAUGACCAGCACCACUGGGACUGAGACACGGCCCAGACUCCUACGGGAGGCAGCAGUGGGGAAUUUUGGACAAUGGGGGAAACCCUGAUCCAGCCAUCCCGCGUGUAUGAGAAGGCCUUCGGGUUGUAAAGUACUUUCGCUAUCGAACGGGUAGGUGGAGAAGAAGCGCCGGCUAACUACGUGCCAGCAGCCGCGGUAAUUC